rnacentral:rRNA from 1 species
AUUGAACGCUGGCGGCAGGCCUAACACAUGCAAGUCGAACGGUAACAGGAAGCAGCUUGCUGCUUCGCUGACGAGUGGCGGACGGGUGAGUAAUGUCUGGGAAGCUGCCUGAUGAGGGGGAUAACUACGGGAAACGGUAGCUAAUACCGCAUAAUGUCGCAAGCCCAAAGAGGGGGACUUUCGGGCCUCUUGCCAUCGGAUGUGCCCAGAUGGGAUUAGCUUGUUGGUGGGGUAACGGCUCACCAAGGCGACGAUCCCUAGCUGGUCUGAGAGGAUGACCAGCCACACUGGAACUGAGACACGGUCCAGACUCCUACGGGAGGCAGCAGUGGGGAAUAUUGCACAAUGGGCGCAAGCCUGAUGCAGCCAUGCCGCGUGUAUGAAGAAGGCCUUCGGGUUGUAAAGUACUUUCAGCGGGGAGGAAGGGAGUAAAGUUAAUACCUUUGCUCAUUGACGUUACCCGCAGAAGAAGCACCGGCUAACUCCGUG